GACGAACGCUGGCGGCGUGCCUAAUACAUGCAAGUAGAACAGUUGCGAACGGGUGAGUAACGCGUAGGUAACUGCCUCAUAGCGGGGGAUAACUAUUGGAAACGAGAGCUAAUACCGCAUACUGUGAGAUGGACCGGCGUUGUAUUAGCUAGUUGGUGAGGUAAAGGCUCACCAAGGCGACGAUACAUAGUCGGCCUGAGAGGGGUAUCGGCCCAACUGGGACGUGGACACGGCCCAGACUCCUUCCGGAGGCAGCAGUAGGGAAGCUUUGGCAAUUGACGGAAGUCUGACCGGGCAACGCCGCGUGAGUGAAGAAGGUUCUCGGAUCGUAAAGGUCUGUUCUGCGAGAAGCGUUAACUAACCAGAAAGGGACGGCUAACUACGUGCCAGCAGCCGCGGUAAUAC
rnacentral:rRNA from 1 species